GACGAACGCUGGCGGCGUGCUUAACACAUGCAAGUCGAACGGUGAAGCGCCUUCCUUUUUGGUGGGUGUGGAUGAGUGGCGAACGGGUGAGUAACACGUGAGUAACCUGCCCCCUUCUUCUGGAUAACCGCAUGAAAGUGUGGCUAAUACGGGAUAUUCUGGGUCUGUCGCAUGAUGGGUCUGGGAAAGAUAUUGUUUCGGUGGGGGAUGGGCUCGCGGCCUAUCAGCUUGUUGGUGGGGUGAUGGCCUACCAAGGCGAUGACGGGUAGCCGGCCUGAGAGGGUGGACGGUCACACUGGGACUGAGACACGGCCCAGACUCCUACGGGAGGCAGCAGUGGGGAAUAUUGCACAAUGGGCGCAAGCCUGAUGCAGCGACGCCGCGUGAGGGAUGGAGGCCUUCGGGUUGUGAACCUCUUUCGCCAGUGAAGCAGGCCUGCCUCGUUUGUGGGUGGGUUGACGGUAGCUGGAUAAGAAGCGCCGGCUAACUACGUG
rnacentral:rRNA from 1 species